rnacentral:rRNA from 1 species
UACGGAGGGUGCAAGCGUUAUCCGGAUUUACUGGGUUUAAAGGGGGCGCAGGCGGUUAGGUAGGUCGGGGGUGAAAUCUCUAGGCUUAACCUGGAAAUUGCCGUUGAUACUAUAUAUCUUGAAUGUUGUGGAGGUAAGCAGAAUAUGUCAUGUAGCGGUGAAAUGCUUAGAUAUGACAUAGAAUACCUAUUGCGAAGGCAGCUUACUACGCAGAUAUUGACGCUCAUGCACGAAAGCGUGGGGAUCAAACAGG